rnacentral:misc_RNA from 1 species
AACGCACAUUGCGCCCGCCGGCACUCCGGCGGGCAUGCCUGUCCGAGCGUCAUUUCAACCCUCAGGCCCCCCGUCCGCGGGGAACCGGCCUGGCGUUGGGGCCCGGGGACCGCCCAGCGGACCCCGCCCCCUAAAUCCAGUGGCGGUCGCGCCGCAGCCUCCCCUGCGUAGUAGCACACCUCGCACCGGAGAGCGGCUCGGCCACGCCGUGAAACCCCCCAAUUUCUCAAGGUUGACCUCGGAUCAGGUAGGAAUACCCGCUGAACUUAA